UACGUAGGGUGCGAGCGUUGUCCGGAUUUAUUGGGCGUAAAGAGCUCGUAGGCGGUUCCGUAAGCCGAGUGUGAAAAAUCUGGGCUCAACCCAGUGGAGCACUCGAUACUGCGGUGACUGGAGUACGGUAGAGGAGUGUGGAAUUCCUGGUGUAGCGGUGAAAUGCGCAGAUAUCAGGAGGAACACCAAUUGCGAAGGCAGCUCGCUGGAACGUAACUGACGCUGAGACGCGAAAGCGUGGGGAGCAAACAGG
rnacentral:rRNA from 1 species